rnacentral:rRNA from 1 species
AUGUCGCUAACAACACAGGCCUAUGCAGUGGAACCCAAUGUGAGCCUGGCUCACGCACCACCAGACCACACGCAAACACACCACGAGCAUACACAUGACACUGCUACAAGUGAACACACUACACACGCACACAGACACCACGCUGCUGCGUCCCGCACGUCCCGCCCGUCCCGCGCGUCACCGACGCGCCUGACGAGCCUGACGAGCCUGACGGCACCAGUGUGUCCCGCCCGUCCCGCGCGCACCCGUCGUGCCCGACGAGUUCGACCACACACGCCGUGGCUUAUUCCAACACACACCCCCUAA